rnacentral:rRNA from 1 species
ACAGCAGUAGCCGCGGUAAUACGUAGGGUGCAAGCGUUAAUCGGAAUUACUGGGCGUAAAGCGUGCGCAGGCGGUUUGUUAAGACAGAUGUGAAAUCCCCGGGCUUAACCUGGGAACUGCAUUUGUGACUGGCAAGCUAGAGUCUGGCAGAGGGGGGUGGAAUUCCGCGUGUAGCAGUGAAAUGCGUAGAUAUGCGGAGGAACACCGAUGGCGAAGGCAGCCCCCUGGGCCAACACUGACGCUCAUGCACGAAAGCGUGGGGAGCAAACAGGAUUAGAUACCCGGGUAGUCCCUGUCUCUUAUAU